AGUGAGUGGUGGGGGAUCAGAACCAGCAAACCCAGAUUGGAACAACGUUUUUCAUCUUCACACAAUUACAUCAAUGAAGAUUGCGUCUCCACACCAAAAAUACAAACCAAUCAGUGGAUCAAACAAAACAAUACCCAAAAGGUGCAAUCUUUGAGCAAAUUGAGCACAUAGGAAAAAAAAUUGAAUCUCUGAACAAUAGCGUUUUUGUAGGAUUUACAGAUAGGAUAAUUGUGUAGGGUAGACCCACAAAGAGUACAAACACAAAGGUGUCUGCACGAUUCCUCUUUCCCACACUUCCUGCACAAUCUCCUCCAGGGAACGCACCACACCAGCAGUCCAAUUAUGCCAGGCAAUAUCUUGGUUCUGCAAACCACCCAUAAACGGAGCAAUUGAAGCCUUUAGCUCUUGCAUUUAGCCAUCUCCAUGCCCGCAAUUGUGCCAAAUUGAAAACUCGUAGAAAAAAAAUUGUAACUCUACCAUUUAUUUGGCUGCUUGAGUUUGGAAUUUGGAAACCCUAAUUCCCCAAAUUGAAGAAGAAGCUUUUGUUUCAUGGCGGUUUCUACUAUAGCUUUAUACGCGAGUCCACCGAGCAGGUGUCUGUUCAACACCACACCCUUGCCCGCAGACUUCCUACGACUUCGAAUUGGGGUCUAGAUCUUCCUCGUCGGCGUCGACAGUGACGAUAGUUGUCGCAUGAUUCAGUGGUGAAGCCGGCAACGGGGCAAAAAAAAACCCGAACCCACGGAUAAAAAUCCGUCACGGGUAUAAUAACCCGCGGGUUCGGGUACCCACGAGUUUGAAAAACGGAUAUUUUAAAUAUCCGUCCAAAAACGGGGCGGGGCGGAUAUCCGCGUACCCUACCCGUGGGUACCCGUUAGAGUAAAAUUACAUAAAUGCCCUUACUAUUUACUUAAGCCCAAAUUAAAAUUUUAGGGUUUCAUUCUUCUCCAUUCACUCUUUCCCUCUCCUUCAGCCACCGUCAGCGUCGCACACCACCAUCUCCUCCCGCCACCGUCAGCCCAUCUCCGACGACUGGUACUCCGCCAUCGUCAGCCCAUUUGUUUGCUGGAAAUGAUGCUGAUGAAUUCAGUUCAGUUUUGAAUAAAAAACAAACUCUCAAGAUAUUAAUCACCACUUGCCGCUUCAAUUCUACAAAUGUCUACGAAACAAUCAUUCAGUUCGACUAUUCCAUUGGGUGAUGGCCAAGAAGGAGAAGAAGAUUCGCUAUAUACUAUGAGUGGUUCAGAUUUUGGUGUAGUCCCUGAAACUGCUUUGGAAGAAGAAGUUACAAUUGAAGUUGUGGGUGAUAAAAGGAAGACAAGAUCUGAAGUCUGGGGCCAUUUUGAGCAUAAAAUAAGUGAUGGCAAGCAGAGAGCAAUUUGUGUACAUUGUGGAAAAAGUUUGUUAGGUGAUCCAAAGCAAGGUACAACACACUUGCGCAAUCACUUGAACAGGUGCAAGGAAUAUCAAAAAAAGUGUGGAGAGCAAAAACAUUUCAAAACUGAGCAAAAGAAGAGUGAGGAUGGUUCUUAUGUGCUUAACCCUGAAAAAUAUAAGCACUUGAGUCUUGAUGCACAUUUCCUGCAUGAUUUGCUAGUUCAAAAAUGAGUGCAAACCCUUGAUUUUCACUUGAGUCUUGAUGCACAUUAACUUUUUUGCAGGCGCUGUCUGGUAGUGGUUGAUUUUCUUACUGCAGAAUUUUAUCCGGAGCUAUUGACCUAUUUUGGGCACAAUUGAAAUUUAUUUCCUCUGGAUUACAUUGUUUAAUGAAAAUCUUAAUGUACCAGAGCGGUUUUUUGGGUAGUUGUUAUCAGUUUGUGGAUUCUUGGUAUUGUAGACAUGUUUUUAAAUUGCUGCUACCAUUUUGGUAUUUGAGACUA